rnacentral:rRNA from 1 species
CCGGGUAGCUAUGUUCGGAAGGGAUAACCGCUGAAAGCAUCUAAGCGGGAAGCCUUUCCCAAGAUUAGAUUUCACAGGUCUUGAGACCUCUAAAGACUCCUUGUAGACUACAAGGUUGAUAGGCGGGAAGUUGAAGUGCAGUAAUGUAUGAAGCAGACCCGUACUAAUAAGUCGUGAGGCUUAGCAUC